rnacentral:lncRNA from 1 species
GUAGAUUGAUAAAUUCAAAAUUAGAUGUUUUUUAACAAAUGGUAGUUUGAUUUUCACAAUAUGCUGGUAGAGACGCCCAAACUAAAAUUUAGUCAAAAUUAAGAAAAAAUUCACAUGUUUCACCCAUAAGAGCAAAAACUACCAUAAUUUCCUAGCCCUAAGAUCCAGAGUUAAUGGUCCAGAAGAAAAAAUAAAUAAAUACAACAAAGAUAGAACUAAUAUGAAUGACAUAGUAGCACAGGGUUUAAUUUGUGACAUAACUACAUGGUAAUAAGGAAACCAUAUGGAAC